rnacentral:tRNA from 1 species
CAGAAUAUAGUUUAAGAAAAUUUUAAUUUUGGAGAUUAAAGAUAGACUAGAAGGUCUUAUUCUGA